AUUGAACGCUGGCGGCAGGCUUAACACAUGCAAGUCGAGCGGAGAUGAGGUGCUUGCACCUUAUCUUAGCGGCGGACGGGUGAGUAAUGCUUAGGAAUCUGCCUAUUAGUGGGGGACAACAUUCCGAAAGGAAUGCUAAUACCGCAUACGCCCUACGGGGGAAAGCAGGGGAUCUUCGGACCUUGCGCUAAUAGAUGAGCCUAAGUCGGAUUAGCUGGUUGGUGGGGUAAAGGCCUACCAAGGCGACGAUCUGUAGCGGGUCUGAGAGGAUGCACCGCCACACUGGGACGGGGACACGGCCCAGACUCCUACGGGAGGCAGCAGUGGGGAAUAUUGGACAAUGGGCGGAAGCCUAAUCCAGCCAUGCCGCGUGUGUGAAGAAGGCCUUUUGGUUGUAAAGCACUUUAAGCGAGGAGGAGGCUACCUGGAUUAAUACUCUAGGAUAGUGGACGUUACUCGCAGAAUAAGCACCGGCUAACUCUGUGCCAGCAGCCGCCGUAACAC
rnacentral:rRNA from 1 species